rnacentral:rRNA from 1 species
UACGGAGGGGGCCAGCGUUGUUCGGAAUUACUGGGCUUAAAGGGUUCGUAGGCGGUGCGGCAAGUUGGGUGUGAAAUCUCUGGGCUUAACCCAGAGGCUGCUUCCAAAACUGCUGUGCUUGAGUGUGGGAGAGGCGCGUGGAAUUGCAGGUGUAGCGGUGAAAUGCGUAGAUAUCUGCAGGAACACCCGUGGCGAAAGCGGCGCGCUGGACCACUACUGACGCUGAGGAACGAAAGCUAGGGGAGCAAACAGG